CUUUUCAUCUACUCUCAAGGGAAAUUUUUUUUUAAAACUCUCUAAGUAUUUUUUUUUUUUAAGUUGAUCAACAAUUUGUGAUUGUUCUGAAUUAUAUUUCAACUGGCUGAUUGACUGUUUGAUUUUGUUCAGUGGUUCUUAAAAUGUGCAGCUCCACACUCGUGGGGUGUCCCAUUUUUAUGUAUUUUUUCGUAUGGGUUUUUUUUUAACUAAGAAAACUUUUUCAACCUGAAAAGGUUUUAAUUCACUAUGAAUAAAAAAUGAAAUAUGGUUGAACCAUGCUAAUGUAUAGACUUGGGACAUGAUUUUCAAAUAGCUUUUAAUUUUAAAUCUAACUAAAAGCCCAUUCUUUAACAUGCCUGCUUCCUAUUUUGUUUAGUUUGAAGUUUAUAAAUGAAAUGGACUUUGGUUCUAUACAUCACCAUGCUUAUGAUUCCAUUCAUCUUUAAGUGUAGACUUGUUUUAUAUUGUGGACAGAAAGUUACAAAUAAAAAUGUGAACUUUGUAC